UGACGCAGCAACGCCGCGUGAGUGAUGAAGGCCUUCGGGUCGUAAAGCUCUGUCGGGAGGGAAGAAAUGGUUGUGUGUUAAUACCACAUGAUCUUGACGGUACCUCCGAAGGAAGCACCGGCUAACUCCGUGCCAGCAGCCGCGGUAAUACGGAGGGUGCAAGCGUUGUUCGGAAUUAUUGGGCGUAAAGCGCGUGUAGGCGGUUUCUUAAGUCUGAUGUGAAAGCCCCGGGCUCAACCUGGGAAGUGCAUUGGAAACUGGGAAACUUGAGUACGGGAGAGGGUAGUGGAAUUCCUAGUGUAGGAGUGAAAUCCGUAGAUAUUAGGAGGAACACCGGUGGCGAAGGCGGCUACCUGGACCGAUACUGACGCUGAGACGCGAAAGCGUGGGGAGCAAACAGGAUUAGAUACCCUGGUAGUCCACGCCGUAAACGAUGAGUACUAGGUGUUGCGGGUAUUGACCCCCGCAGUGCCGCUAACGCAUUAAGUACUC
rnacentral:rRNA from 1 species